ensembl:lncRNA
CUUUUAUUUCAGCUCAUGAAAUAUAGGACCAAAACUUUACAUGUUGCGUUUAUGUUUUUGUUCAGAAUACAUUGUCUAAGAGCGACAUGCCAUGCUAGCACAUAGUGCAUGGUCCCAUGCGUGAUGUGCCCAAGAACACCAAGGUAACCUGCCUAAAUGACUACCGACCGUAGCAGUCACGUCUGUAGCCAUGAAGUGCUUUGAAAGACUGGUCAUGGCUCACAUCGACAACAUCAUCCCAGAAACCCUAGACCCACUCCAAUUUGCAUACUGCCCUACAGAUUCACAGAUGACGCAAUCUCUUUUGCACUCCACACUGCAUUUUCCCACCUGGACAAAAGGAACACAAUACGUGAGAAUGCUGUUAAUUGACAACAGCUCAGCGUUCAACACCAUAGUGCCCUCAAAGCUCAUCACUAAGCUAAGGACCCUGAGGCUAAACACUUCCCUCUGAAACUGGAUCCUGGACUUCCUGAUGGGCCGCCCCCAGGUGGUAAGGGUAGGCAACACCACAUCUGCCACGCUGAUCCGCAACAUGGGAGCCCCUCAGGGGUGCAUGCUUAGUCCCCUAUGUACUCCCUGUUCACCCAUGACUGCGUGGCCAAGCACGACUCCAACACUAUCAUUAAGUUUGCCAAAGACACAACGGUGGUAGGCCUGAUCCCUGACAAUGAUGAAACAGCCUAUAGGGAGGAGGUGAGACACCUGGCUUUGUGGUGCCAGGAUAACAACUUCUCCCUCAACGUGAUCAAGACAAAGGAGAUGAUCGUGGGCUACAUGAAGGGGGCUGUAGUGGAGCGGGUUUAGAGCUUCAAGUUCCUUGGUGUCCACAUCAUUAACAAACUGUCAUGGUCCAAACACACCAAGACAGUCAUGAAGAGGGCAUGACAAUGUCUAUUUCCCCUCAGAACACUGAAAAGGUUUGGUAUGGGUCCUCAGAUCUACAGCUGCACCAUCGAGAGCAUCCUGACUGGUUGCAUCACCGCCUAGUAUGGCAACUGCUCGGCCCCCGACCGCAAGGCGCUACAGAGGGUAGUACGUAUGGCCCAGUACAUCACUGGGGCCAAGCUUCCUGCCAUCCAGGACCUCUAUACCAGGCGGUGUCAGAGGAAGACCCUAGAAAUUGCCAAAAACUUCAGCCACUAGACUGUCUGAGCUUGGUGCCGACCUGAAUAGAGAUUUGGGAGAGAAUGGGGAGUACGUCUCAAGGACAAGGUCACUAUCUCUGUCGGCUGGGUAGUGAGACAGACAGUGUGCGCGUAGCAGGACAUGUGUGUGCGUAUGUUUGUGUGUAUGUCUGGGUUUGAGAAGUCAGUGUAAAAUGAAUUGUUUUGUAUUCUUGACUUUAGAACGUUCUCUGAAUAAACUGUACAAACCUUUUGUAUAAGCUGAGUCUUUGACUAAUUAUUAUUAUACCCAUGGACAAACCUCGGGAAUUGGUCAGAGCUAUUGAUUGAUUGUUAUUAUCAUUGGGAUGGGAAAUUCUCUUAUCAAUAGUCAACUACUGUUCCCUCUGCUACCGCACGGCAAGUGUUAC